rnacentral:rRNA from 1 species
AAUCAACGCUGGCGGCGUGCCUAACACAUGCAAGUCGAACGCGAAAGCCCGCAAGGGUAAGUAGAGUGGCGCACGGGUGAGUAACACGUGGACAACCUGCCUUCGAGUGGGGAAUAACCUUCCGAAAGGAGGGCUAAUACCGCAUAACACCUCGGGACACAAGUUCUGGGGUUGAAAGAGCAAUUUGCUCGAAGAGGGGUCCGCGCCUGAUUAGCUAGUUGGUGAGGUAACGGCUCACCAAGGCUUCGAUCAGUAGCCGUCCUGAGAGGGAGCACGGCCACACUGGAACUGAGACACGGUCCAGACUCCUACGGGAGGCAGCAGUGGGGAAUUUUGGCAAUGGGCGAAAGCCUGACCAAGCAACGCCGCGUGGGUGAUGAAGUAUCUUGGUACGUAAAACCCUUUCGGCAGGGACGAACCUAAUGACGGUACCUGCGGAAGAAGCCCCGGCUAACUCCGUGCCAGCCGCCGCGGUAAU